rnacentral:lncRNA from 1 species
UGCCACUAUCCACGAUAACUUUACAGCCCUUGUUAUUAAUCUUGAUGUAGGUGUGGAAGAUGGCAUGGCGGCGUCAAUCGUCGGCAUCCUUAGGCUGGGUGAGGGUGCAACGGACGACACCGACUCUAGGUGUAUGUGGGAUAAUGGGACUAGCCUGGAUACAACCUAAGAAAUCAUCCUCACUGUCCUCCAAGUCUUCAAACUUUUCUAACUUAGGCUCAUAAACUUGAUCCUCUAGUGGUUCGACGACUAGAUCCUCACGUUCGUCCAGAACUAGGGCUCGGCUAGGGCACUUAGAAGCAAUGUGACC